GACGAACGCUGGCGGCGUGCCUAAUACAUGCAAGUAGAACGCUGAAGAGAGGAGCUUGCUCUUCUUGGAUGAGUUGCGAACGGGUGAGUAACGCGUAGGUAACCUGCCUGGUAGCGGGGGAUAACUAUUGGAAACGAUAGCUAAUACCGCAUAAAAUUGAUUAUUGCAUGAUAAUUAAUUGAAAGAUGCAACUGCAUCACUACCAGAUGGACCUGCGUUGUAUUAGCUAGUUGGUGAGGUAACGGCUCACCAAGGCGACGAUACAUAGCCGACCUGAGAGGAUGAUCGGCCACACUGGGACUGAGACACGGCCCAGACUCCUACGGGAGGCAGCAGUAGGGAAUAUUCGGCAAUGGGGGGAAGCCUGACCGAGCAACGCCGCGUGGGUGAAGAAGGUGUUCGGAUCGUAAAGCUCUGUUGUAAGGGAAGAACGGGUGUGAGAGUGGAAAGUUCAGACUGUGACGGUAUCUUACCAGAAAGGGACGGCUAACUACGU
rnacentral:rRNA from 1 species